rnacentral:rRNA from 1 species
GUGCCAGCAGCCGCGGUAAUACGUAGGUGGCAAGCGUUGUCCGGAUUUAUUGGGUUUAAAGGGUGCGUAGGCGGCUUUGUAAGUCAGUGGUGAAAUAUGGCAGCUCAACUGUCAAGGUGCCAUUGAUACUGCGGAGCUUGAGUACAGAUGAGGUAGGCGGAAUUGACGGUGUAGCGGUGAAAUGCUUAGAUAUCGUCAAGAACACCUAUAGCGAAGGCAGCUUACUAGGCUGUAACUGACGCUGAGGCACGAAAGUGUGGGGAUCAAACAGGAUUAGAUACCCUGGUAGUCC